GUGGGCAUCACCACCACGGGGAUAAGCGUGCACUGCUCAAGUGUACCAUUGGAAGACAUGACUUCAGUGUACCCUUCUUCACAACUGCACGUCCUCGUCUGCAGGAGAACAAGACGUACAUGCAAGAAAAAUUGUUAUGCAAAAGCAGUUAGUCAUCGCAAGGCAGUUGCAGUUAAAUGGCCAAAUUGAAGUUAUCAUCGUUAAACAGAUGAAGACAAAGAAAAACAUCUUGAGUUUCUUGUAAGGACAACUAUUCAUAAAAUUAAAGCAAUCGAUUAAGAAUAACAAUUCUCAAACUAUGGCCCAAGGACCAGGGGAGACUGACAUUCUUUCGGUGUAUGAGGUGUGUGUGAGGACCUCCCCCUUUUAACUAUACAUCUGGCACGUGAGGCUUUAAAUUCCCUUCAAGUACUCCUGUGCUGCACCCGCAUUGAGAUGUUGAUUUUCUAGUUCUUGGAUAAUCACCGCUCUGGAACGGACCUGUAUCCCACCGAAGCCUAGGUCCUCCCCAUUCACACAGGUCAGCUGACACAGGCUCCACGAAGACCAGUCCUUCAAAUAACAGUCACCUGCAAAACACAGGUGUUCAAAGUUUCAGAAGAGCUUGAAGCCAAGGCUGAGAAAGCUGGUAUUCAUGCUUGAUUCCUGUUUCUUCCCAAAGGUGUAGAGAUUUGCUUAGGUCACAGCUGAUGAAAUAUGAUCCGACAUCUUCAUACUGUCGGGUGAGUAUGAAACUACUGGGGGCGUUACUUUUGUAAAUUGGAGAAUUAACAGCUACAGUUCUCUGUACCUAAAGGCACUCUGUACCUUAAGACUCCCUUCCUUUGUUUGAGUUUCAAGCUCCCUCUUAUCCAGACCUGAGUCAUACAUUCACAGCUGGGUAUUAGAUCCUAACAUCAAAAUCUGCUACCAAACCACAUGCGAUCAAUGUUUUGCAACAGAGAGAGUAACUGAUGGCUCUUGGCAGGUGUCCCAGGCAACACAAAAUUCAUGUGAAAUUACAAAAGAUGGUGAGUAGUCUGAUUAAGAUUUAUUGCCUCUAUGCACCUUGAUUACUUAUUGUUCCCCAAGCAUUUCUUUCAGAAUAGGCUAAUUAGCAUACCUUUAGGCUCCAAGCAGAACAAAAUACAGGAAAUUAUGUGUAGAAAUCAGUAGUGUUGGGCAGUGUCUCUUUUCAAGAGGGUGCAUAGCAGCCUCUGAAUAGCGCGGAAAACAUCUGCUGGCAACGAGCUGCACAACGCACAGGUCACUUGGCUCGGCAUGAGUUGAAAUGAUUUGGAAAGAAUUUACUCACAAAGAUCUAACCCAGCAUCCCCUUACCUCUUCACAGUACUUCAGGUUAACCGACUUGCCAUCACUUCGAACACAAUCCAACAUCCUUGUUUUCAUGCCAUUUCCACAAACUGCCUUCUCACUCAGCUGACACGUACUCCAGUCUGAAAGGAAGGGAGCCCAUCAGCACAGAAGGCUACGUAGGAAACAGAUUUCAAAGGAAACUCGGAUGACCUGAAUCCCAUAUUUAAUUCACAACUGCUUCCUAAGCUCCACAAUCAAUCAUCCCACAUGCAGAGCAUAUGGGUCUCGGCUUUGAGCGUAUCAGGAGUCAAACGGCAUUGCUGGGGUUGCACACGGCUGCAGGGAUCAUUCCUGAAGGCAGAUGCCUGCUUGUCAAGCUUGACAGCUGGCCGUUUGGUGAUGCUGUAAACAUGGUCUGGCCUGCAGAUCAAAGGUCAUUUUUCCCUUAUGAAAGUAAAAGUUUUCAAUGUUUUUGUUUUAGCAAAAUAAUCAUAAUUUUAAUGGCUGGUACUUUGGGUAGCUGUAUUCAAAUAAAACACUGUAUUUCACUUACUGUUCAUACUUAGAAUGUUUUAAAAUGUACACUUAAAUUUAUUUCAAAAUCACUGUGGCCAUAUUUAUUUCACUUAUUUUCUGUCUUUGGCAAAAUAAUUCUUUCCUCUUUCUUUCCAGGGCAACAUAACAUGUCCCAGAGAACUGUGAUUUCAUUGUGUCAUUAAAGGAAAUUGAAGAGAAAAACUGAAAGCAACGAAAAGCCAACCUGACUGCUACAUGUCAUUGUACAAUUUCUGGAGUGUAUUUCAAUGUGAAAAUCACUUGGGAAAAAUUCCAAAAUAAGCUUCAGUGUUGUCCUAAGUCAUAUAAACCAAGAAACUUGCCUUUCCUAAAGCAUAUGCCUUGAUGAGGAUUAUUUCUGGGAGAGGAAGCAGCAGGUCCAGAAGGCACGCAGAUGGGAGAAGGGCAACACUUCCGGGAAUGCUGCUGAGCUGACAGACACGGGAUCUGACCUUUAACUCCAGGAGGAAAUGACAAUUCACGUACCUGUUAC